GCAAUCAGUGGAUGCCUUGGCAGUAAAAGCCGAAGAAGGACGUUUCAAGCCUGCGAAAGUUAUCGGGGAGGUGGCAAGAACUUAUGAUCCGGUAGUGUCCGAAUGGGGAAACCUAACCAGAUUUAUCUGGUUGUUACGCUUUGAUUUAUCAAAGUGUUUCGGGAACUUGGGGAACUGAAAUAUCUAAGUACCCAAAGGAAAAGAAAUCGAAUGAGAACCCCUUAGUAAGCGACGAGCGAACAGGGGCGAGUCUAAACCACGAAUUUAUUCGUGGGGUUGCAGGGCCAGACACAACUUAGUUUUUUCGAUAGAAGAACAAUUUGGAAUAGUUGACCAUAGGGGGUGAGAGUCCCGUAUUCGAAAUUGGAAAAACUAAAGUCUGGUACCUAAGUAAAUCUGGAGACGGCAAACUCUAGAUCGAAUCCGGGCCGACCACGGUCCAAGACUAAAUACUUUUACUGACCGAUAGUGAACUAGUACCGCGAGGGAAAGGUGAAAAGAAGGGCGAGUAGCCCUAUUAAAAGAUCCUGAAACUGAUUGCUAACAAACAGACGGAGUCUGCCGCAAGGUGGAUGACGUCGUGCCUAUUGAAGAAUGAGCCGGCGAGUUACUCAACACAGCAAGGUUAACCGAUAAGUUUCGGGAAGCCGAAGGGAAACCAAGUCUUAACAGGGCGUGUAGUUGUGUUGUGUAGACCCGAAACCAGGUGAGCUAACCAUGAGCAGGCUGAAGGUUGGAGAAAUCCAACUGGAGGGCCGAACAGGUUAAUAUGCCUAACGAACCUGGAGAUAGCUGGUUCUCCUCGAAACAUGUUUUGGCAUGGCCUCGUAUUUACGGUAUGGGGGGUAGAGUGCUGAAUGGACUUUGCGAAUAAAAUCGUAAUUUCCAACCAAACUCCGAAUACCCAUAUCAAUUGUACGGGAGUCAGUGGCUGGGGGCUAAGCUCCAGUCGCAAAAGGGAAACAUCCCAGACCCUCAAAUAAGGUCUCUAAAUAUAUAUUAAGUGGUAAAGGACGUGUCAUUUCUCAGACACCUAGGAGGUCGGCUCAGAAGCAGCCAUCCUUGAAAGAAAGCGUAACAGCUCACUAGCCGAGAGAUACACGGCCGAAGACGUAACGAGGCUAAAUAUAUUACCGAAUUUAGGGAUUCGCAUCGCAAGAUGUGAGUGGUAGAGGAGCAUGAGUAGCGUAAUAAAGUGAGAAUCUUUAUAUCCGAAUGAGCAAGGUUUCCUACGCAACGUUCGUCGACGUAGGGUAAGGCGACCCUUAGGUGAGGCCAUAAUGGCGUAGCCGAUGGAUUACUGGUCGAUAUUCCAGUCCUUGUCUGUAAUCGUUAUUAACUGGGGCGGGACGAAGUUGGAUAGUCUGGGCGAUGUGUUGAAGAUACAUUCGCUUAAGCAGUUAGUCAGUCACUAUUGGCAAAUCCGUAGUGGCGUUUAUACGAGCUGUGAACACGAGUCUGCCGUAAGGUGGGCAAGUCAGAUGAUUUCAGUUUCCGAGAAAAGCGUCGCAGUGAGAGUGCAGAUAAUCCGUACCACAAACCGACACCGGUGCUCUGGUCGAGUAGACCAAGGAUAGCGAGAGAACUCUUCUUAAGGAACUCGGCAAAUUAGCUAGGCGUAAGUUCUACGAGAUGCCUUGCCCUGAGCAAUAUCAGGGCUACAACAAAAGAUUACAAAGGGGCUGUUUAACAAAAACACAGGUCUGUGCAAAAGAGAAAUCUUAAGUAUACAGGCUGAAACCUGCCCAGUGCCGGAAGGUUAAAUGCGUGGCUGAUCCAUCGCAAGAUGGCUAGGCUGCAAUUGAAGCCCCGGUGAACGGCAGCAGUAACUAUAACUGUCGACUAUAGGGCAGUUAAUAAAUUUGGCUAUAUGCUGGAACAACUCAUGUAUCCGACAGUACUCGAAAGAGUGAAAAUCUGUUCGGUGGAGUCAAUCAGCAGGAAAGA
rnacentral:rRNA from 1 species